AGCGUAGACGGAUUAGCAAGUCUGAUGUGAAAGGCAGGGGCUCAACCCCCUGGACUGCAUUGGAAACUGCCAGUCUUGAGUGCCGGAGAGGUAAGCGGAAUUCCUAGUGUAGCGGUGAAAUGCGUAGAUAUUAGGAGGAACAUCAGUGGCGAAGGCGGCUUACUGGACGGCAACUGACGUUGAGGCUCGAAAGCGUGGGAGCAAACA
rnacentral:rRNA from 1 species